rnacentral:misc_RNA from 1 species
CUUUAGCCGUGGGUGGAGCGGCAUCCUGCGAGAGAAAAAACAAGUGAUGAACGAAGUUUUUACGAAUCGGAGAUACAGCGGAACACACGAAAGUUA